rnacentral:rRNA from 1 species
AUGAACGCUGGCGGCGUGCCUAAUACAUGCAAGUCGAGCGAACAGACGAGGAGCUUGCUCCUCUGACGUUAGCGGCGGACGGGUGAGUAACACGUGGAUAACCUACCUAUAAGACUGGGAUAACUUCGGGAAACCGGAGCUAAUACCGGAUACUUAGUGAAACGGCUGGGUUAAUUGGGAAAGACGGUUUUGACGUCAACUUAAGACGGAUCCGCGCCGCAUUAGCUAGUUGGUAAGGUAACGGCUUACCAAGGCGACGAUGCGUAGCCGACCUGAGAGGGUGAUCGGCCACACUGGAACUGAGACACGGUCCAGACUCCUACGGGAGGCAGCAGUAGGGAAUCUUCCGCAAUGGGCGAAAGCCUGACGGAGCAACGCCGCGUGAGUGAUGAAGGUCUUCGGAUCGUAAAACUCUGUUAUUAGGGAAGAACAAAUGUGUAAGUAACUAUGCACGUCUUGACGGUACCUAAUCAGAAAGCCACGGCUAACUACGUG